UACGGAGGGUGCAAGCGUUAAUCGGAAUUACUGGGCGUAAAGCGUGCGUAGGUGGUUCGUUAAGUCCGUUGUGAAAGCCCCGAGCUCAACUUGGGAAUUGCAGUGGAUACUGGCGAGCUAGAGUGCGGUAGAGGAAGGUGGAAUUCCCGGUGUAGCGGUGAAAUGCGUAGAGAUCGGGAGGAACACCAGUGGCGAAGGCGGCCUUCUGGACCAGCACUGACACUCAAGCACGAAAGCGUGGGGAGCAACAGGAU
rnacentral:rRNA from 1 species